UACGUAGGCAGCGAGCGUUGUUCGGAGUUACUGGGCGUAAAGGGUGUGUAGGCGGUUGUUUAAGUUUGGUGUGAAAUCUCCCGGCUCAACUGGGAGGGUGCGCCGAAUACUGAAUGACUUGGAGUGCGGGAGAGGAAAGUGGAAUUCCUGGUGUAGCGGUGAAAUGCGUAGAUAUCAGGAGGAACACCGGUGGUGUAGACGGCUUUCUGGACCGUAACUGACGCUGAGACACGGAAAGCGUGGGUAGCAAACAGG
rnacentral:rRNA from 1 species